rnacentral:rRNA from 1 species
CCCUUAGAUGUUCUGGGCCGCACGCGCGCUACACUGAUGCAUUCAACAAGCCUAGCCUUGACCGAGAGGUCCUGGUAAUCUUUGAAACUGCAUCGUGAUGGGGCUAGAUUAUUGCAAUUAUUAAUCUUCAACGAGGAAUGCCUAGUAAGCGUGAUUCAUCAAAUCGCGUUGAUUACGUCCCUGCCCUUUGUACACACCGCCCGUCGCUCCUACCGAUUGAAUGUGUUGGUGAGGAGCUCGGAUUGGCAGCAGUUGGUGGUUCGCCACCGGCUAUUGCUGAGAAGUCCUCCAAACCGCCCCAUUUAGAGGAAGGAGAAGUCGUAACA